rnacentral:rRNA from 1 species
AUUGAACGCUGGCGGCAGGCUUAACACAUGCAAGUCGAGCGAGCGGCGGACGGGUGAGUAAUGUCUGGGAAACUGCCUGAUGGAGGGGGAUAACUACUGGAAACUAUAGCUUAUACCGCAUCCUAUCAUAUGCGCCCAUAUGGGAUUAGCUAGUGGGGGGGGUAAUGGCUCACCUAGGCGACUAUCCCUAGCUGGUCUGAGAGGAUGACCAGCCACACUGGAACUGAGACACGGUCCAGACUCCUACGGGAGGCAGCAGUGGGGAAUAUUGCACAAUGGGGGCAAGCCUGAUGCAGCCAUGCCGCGUGUGUGAAGAAGGCCUUCGGGUUGUAAAGCACUUUUAGCAGGGAGGCGUUACCUGCAGAAUAAGCACCGGCUAACUACGUGCCAGCAGCCGCGGUAAUUC